rnacentral:rRNA from 1 species
UACGUAGGGUGCGAGCGUUAAUCGGAAUUACUGGGCGUAAAGCGUGCGCAGGCGGCGCCGCAAGUCAGGCGUGAAAUCCCCGAGCUUAACUUGGGAAUGGCGCUUGAAACUACGGUGCUGGAGUGUGGCAGAGGGAGGUGGAAUUCCACGUGUAGCGGUGAAAUGCGUAGAGAUGUGGAGGAACACCGAUGGCGAAGGCAGCCUCCUGAGCCAACACUGACGCUCAUGCACGAAAGCGUGGGGAGCAAACAGG